rnacentral:rRNA from 1 species
GACGAACGCUGGCGGCGUGCUUAACACAUGCAAGUCGAACGGAAAGGCCCUGCUUUUGUGGGGUGCUCGAGUGGCGAACGGGUGAGUAACACGUGAGUAACCUGCCCUUGACUUUGGGAUAACUUCAGGAAACUGGGGCUAAUACCGGAUAGGAGCUCCUGCUGCAUGGUGGGGGUUGGAAAGUUUCGGCGGUUGGGGAUGGACUCGCAGCUUAUCAGCUUGUUGGUGGGGUAGUGGCUUACCAAGGCUUUGACGGGUAGCCGGCCUGAGAGGGUGACCGGCCACAUUGGGACUGAGAUACGGCCCAGACGCCUACGGGAGGCAGCAGUGGGGAAUAUUGCACAAUGGGCGGAAGCCUGAUGCAGCAACGCCGCGUGCGGGAUGACGGCCUUCGGGUUGUAAACCGCUUUCGCCUGUGACGAAGCGUGAGUGACGGUAAUGGGUAAAGAAGCACCGGCUAACUACGUG